GACGAACGCUGGCGGCGUGCCUAAUACAUGCAAGUCGAACGCAGUGGGGACGGGUGAGUAACACGUGGGUAACCUCCCAUCAGAGGGGAUAACACUUGGAAACAGGUGCUAAACCGAUAUUGAUGGAUGGACCCGCGUUGUAUUGGCUUGUUGGUGAGGUAACGGCUAACCAAGGCCACGAUGCAUAGCCGGCCGUGAAGGGUGAUCGGGCAAACUGGAACUGAGAAACGGCCAAGACUCCUACGGGAGGCAGCAGUGGGGAAUAUUGGACAAUGGGCGCAAGCCUGAUGCAGCCAUGCCGCGUGUAUGAAGAAGGCCUUAGGGUUGUAAAGUACUUUCAGAGGGGAGGCGUUACCCGCAGAAGAAGCACCGGCUAACUCCGUGCCAGCCGCCGCGGUAAUAC
rnacentral:rRNA from 1 species